rnacentral:rRNA from 1 species
UAGGGAAUCUUCGGCAAUGGGGGCAACCCUGACCGAGCAACGCCGCGUGAGUGAAGAAGGUUUUCGGAUCGUAAAGCUCUGUUGUAAGAGAAGAACGUGUGUGAGAGUGGAAAGUUCACACAGUGACGGUGACUUACCAGAAAGGGACGGCUAACUACGUGCCAG